CUACGGGUUGCUCCAGUGAGGAAUAUUGGUCAAUGGCCGAGAGGCUGAACCAGCCAUCCCGCGUGCAGGAUGACGGCCCUAUGGGUUGUAAACUGCUUUUCUACGCCAAGAAAUCUGAUUACGUGUAAUUAGUUGACGGUAGCGUAGGAAUAAGCAUCGGCUAACUCCGUGCCAGCAGCCGCGGUAAUACGGAGGAUGCAAGCGUUAUCCGGAUUCAUUGGGUUUAAAGGGUGCGCAGGCGGGCUUGUAAGUCAGUGGUGAAAUACUGCCGCUUAACGGUAGAACUGCCAUUGAUACUGCAAGUCUUGAAUAUGGUUGUGGUAGGCGGAAUGUGUUGUGUAGCGGUGAAAUGCAUAGAUAUGACACAGAACGCCGAUUGCGAAGGCAGCUUACUAAGCCAUUAUUGACGCUGAGGCACGAAAGCGUGGGGAGCGAACAGGAUUAGAUACCCUUGUAGUC
rnacentral:rRNA from 1 species